ACACCAGGGUCGAAUAUCGCGGCCUCGACAAAAUCCCGAAGGGUCCGCUGAUCGUCGCCUCGAAACAUCAGUCGGCCUGGGAAACCUUCGCGCUGCUGCAAUUCUUUGAUCAGCCGCUUUAUAUCCUGAAGCGCGAGUUGCUGUGGCUUCCGUUGUUCGGCUGGUAUCUUAGCAAGGCCGGCAUGAUUGGCGUCAAUCGCAAAGCUGGCGGACGCACCUUGAUCGACAUCACCAGGCGCGCUGCCCGCGAAAUCCGGCGCGGCCGUCAACUCCUGAUUUUUCCUGAAGGAACGCGACGUGCCGUCAGCGCGCCGCCGGACUACAAGAACGGCGUCAGCCUGAUUUA
rnacentral:misc_RNA from 1 species